rnacentral:rRNA from 1 species
UACAGAGGGUGCGAGCGUUAAUCGGAAUUACUGGGCGUAAAGCGUGCGUAGACGGUUAUUUAAGUCGGAUGUGAAAGCCCCGGGCUCAACCUGGGAAUUGCAUUCGAGACUGAAUAGCUAGGGUGCGGUAGAGGGAAGCGGAAUUUCCGGUGUAGCGGUGAAAUGCGUAGAUAUCGGAAGGAACAUCAGUGGCGAAAGCGGCUUCCUGGACCAGUACCGACGUUCAGGCACGAAAGCGUGGGAGCAAACAGG